AUUCAAUUAGUAUAUAAUUCAUAGUAUACUAAGCUUCCAACUUAAAGGAUUAAAAAAUAUAAAUUGAAUA
rnacentral:tRNA from 1 species